CCUACGGGUGGCUGCAGUGGGGAAUAUUGGACAAUGGGGGCAACCCUGAUCCAGCCAUGCCGCGUGUGUGAAGAAGGCCCUCGGGUUGUAAAGCACUUUCAGUGAGGAAGAACGCCUGGUGGUUAAUACCCAUCAGGAAAGACAUCACUCACAGAAGAAGCACCGGCUAACUCCGUGCCAGCAGCCGCGGUAAUACGGAGGGUGCGAGCGUUAAUUGGAAUUACUGGGCGUAAAGCGCGCGUAGGUGGCUUGAUAAGCCGGUUGUGAAAGCCCCGGGCUCAACCUGGGAACGGCAUCCGGAACUGUCAAGCUAGAGUGCAGGAGAGGAAGGUAGAAUUCCCGGUGUAGCGGUGAAAUGCGUAGAGAUCGGGAGGAAUACCAGUGGCGAAGGCGGCCUUCUGGACUGACACUGACACUGAGGUGCGAAAGCGUGGGUAGCAAACAGGAUUAGAUACCCUUGUAGUC
rnacentral:rRNA from 1 species